AUAUAUAAAAAUGAAAUGACAAACUAUUCAACAGCAAGACAGCACCAGCAACAAGACAUCAGAUGAACUGCUGUAAAAAGAAAAAGAUGUCGGGCACUCAUCCUGAGCCGACUGAGCCCAAACUGAAGAUUAUGCUCAUUGGAUUGACUGGAGUUGGGAAGACUUCAGUCAUGAACACCCUUCUGGGAAUAAAGGAUCAAAAACAAGGACCUAGCCCUUCCUCACAGACAACAGAGUGCAAGAUGGCGACAGUACAGCGUGGUGACCAAGAACUGGUUAUUAUCGAUACUCCGGGUGUGCUGAACAACAAGAAAUCAGAAGAAGAGGUGAAGAAAGACAUCGCGGAAAGCAUCGCAGAUGCAGCUCUCGAUGGUGGUCCUCAUGUCUUCCUGUUGGUGAUGCGGUCGGAUAGUUUGUCAGAGGAAGAAAAAGAAGCAGUGGAAAUCAUUCAGAAGAUCUUUGGUGAUGAGUUCAAAGACUACACUUUGGUCUUGUUCACCCGUGGACAUGAAUAUGUACCUACGCGCGAAGAAGUGGAGAAAUUUGAAUUCCUUAAGAAGUUCAUUCAUGGAGAUGAUUCUUUUCAUUCUUUUGAAAAUAAUGAAUGUGAGAAUGUAAAGGGUGAAGAAAAGGAAAAGCAAGUGUCUGAUCUAGUGGAGAAGAUCAACAAAAUGGUUGCGAAAAACAGGAAGCAAAACAGGCCGCGUUACACCAGUAAAAUGUUGAGAAAGGCACAGGAAAUCCAAAAACAAAUAGAGAAGAAAAUGGAGAAGUCAGAACCUAAUGGCACGAAGGCAGAUAUUCUGUCUAAAAUGGCUGAGGAGAUUUUUACUGGGGUUUUGGACGGGCAAUGGGUGAGUUUAGUGAACAAUGUUUUUGAAAUUGUCGAGAAAAAAGCGAAAGCUAAACGUGCCUAAAAAUAAGCAGAAGACUCACCAGAAUUUGAAAAGUAUUGAAACAGAGAAAUCAAAACGGUAAAAAAGUGUGUAAGGUGAAUUAAUCUAUUUUUUUAUUAAGCUUUUUUACAAUGAGUGAAUGAAUAGUCUAUUAUUCUAUGAUCUGAACUAUUGCUGAAUAAUUUCCCAAUAAAUCAUGAAUUAUAGCCUAGUAAGGUUAAUAACAAUUAAAAGUAAAGGUACUUGAGUGAAGAAAAAGCAGAAGUGCCGGUACUCAGGCACUGAGUAUGUUUGUUACGCAACUUCAGUAACGUACAUAAGGGACCGUUCGGUAUUUAUGGAUUGGAC